rnacentral:rRNA from 1 species
GACGAACGCUGGCGGCGUGCUUAACACAUGCAAGUCGAGCGGUAAGGCCCUUUCGGGGGUACGACGAGCGGCGAACGGGUGAGUAACACGUGGGUGACCUGCCCUCAGCUCUGGGAUAAGCCUGGGAAACUGGGUCUAAUACUGGAUAUGACUCCACGGUGCAUGUCGUGGGGUGGAAAGCCUUGUGCGGCUGAGGAUGGGCCCGCGGCCUAUCAGCUUGUUGGUGGGGUAACGCCUACCAAGGCGACGACGGGUAGCCGGCCUGAGAGGGCGACCGGCCACACUGGGACUGAGACAC